CCCCUCUCAGAGUUGCAGCUGGAGAGUUUCCAAUACUCUACCAGUCUCGACUACAGGAGGGAGAGUGAAGCAGAGGCCUGUCCAUUCCAUUCCUAGCUUGGGCAGUGGCUAGAGAGUGGCAGGCCAUCUGCUACAAAA